UUGGCCAAUCAAGUGAAGAGCUGCCACCACUCCCUCCCUCUAUAAAACCUCAUAGCCGGCCACCCCCUCCUCUCUUUGCUCUCAUUUUUCACUCCCCACUCCUUCCUCCACUCCCUCACACUCCUCUCAUACCUCUUACCCACGAGCUGCUGCUCCUCCCAAGCUCCAUGGCCGGCCAUGGCCAUGGAAAUCCACCUAGAUGAAGCUCCCCUCCUCCCUCAAGCUUCCCCUCACCAUGAGAGCCUCCCUCUCCUUCUUCUCCCCAACUCUAGAUGGUUUUCUCUCCUCUUCUUCUUCCUCCCUUGCUAAGAUUGGAUCUUGAUGCAGGUGCAUGUUGGUCCAAGCAUGGAGAAGCUUGAGCUAUCCUCAGAUCUGAAGUUCUUGAGCAAAAUCCAAAUCGAGUGAUUCAAAGUUCCGCAGAUAGGUAUUGAAAAGAUCUACAACUUGGCGUUGGUCUCAUACUCAAAUUCGUUACGGAUUUUGCAAGGUAAAUAAAGUUCUGCAAACAUGCAGAAUCACUGUUUGUGAGAUUUCUUCCGUUUUACGAAAUCUUUUUGAGCAAACUCAACUGUGGGUGAAAGCCCUCUUCAGUACCUUCAUUUUGGCGGUGGUUUCACUUCGAUUGACCUCCUGAAACUGAAAUGGUUCACAGAUCAAGAUCUAGUCAGAUCUGACUUUGUCGAAUUAAACCAGGAGCUUGGAACGAAUUUUUGAAUGAAACCAAUUGGGAUGUUAUCUACCAGGGGAUAUUUGGUUUAUACCAUGGUGAUACCCGAGAAAGGCAAUUGCUAAGUUGUGAUACUCUCAUACCUUUACUAGAUGCGAACGAUUCCGGAGAAGAAGAAGAAGUAGUUCGGACAAGGAUUUUAUUUAUAUUGACGGGAUUCUUAUAUUGAUGAAGUUGAAGAAGUCCAGGGACAAAUAAG